rnacentral:rRNA from 1 species
CAGUCGCCGCGGGAAUACGAAGGGUGCAAGCGUUACUCGGAAUUACUGGGCGUAAAGCGUGCGUAGGUGGUCUGUCAAGUCAGAUGUGAAAUCCCCGGGCUUAACCUGGGAACUGCAUUUGAAACUGGCAGGCUAGAGUCUUGUAGAGGGGGGUAGAAUUCCAGGUGUAGCGGUGAAAUGCGUAGAGAUCUGGAGGAAUACCGGUGGCGAAGGCGGCCCCCUGGACAAAGACUGACGCUCAGGUGCGAAAGCGUGGGGAGCAAACAGGAUUAGAUACCCCGGUAGUCCCUGUCUCUUAUAC